rnacentral:rRNA from 1 species
AGGAACCUUACCCGGGAUUGAAAUGUAGAUGACGGAUGGUGAAAACCGUCUUCCCUUCGGGGCUUCUAUGUAGGUGCUGCAUGGUUGUCGUCAGCUCGUGCCGUGAGGUGUCGGCUUAAGUGCCAUAACGAGCGCAACCCACAUCGGUAGU